GACGAACGCUGGCGGCGUGCCUAAUACAUGCAAGUAGAACGCUGAAGAGAGGAGCUUACUCUUCUUGGAUGAGUUGCGAACGGGUGAGUAACGCGUAGGUAACCUGCCUUGUAGCGGGGGAUAACUAUUGGAAACGAUAGCUAAUACCGCAUAACAAUGGAUGACACAUGUCAUUUAUUUGAAAGGGGCAAUUGCUCCACUACAAGAUGGACCUGCGUUGUAUUAGCUAGUAGGUGAGGUAAUGGCUCACCUAGGCGACGAUACAUAGCCGACCUGAGAGGGUGAUCGGCCACACUGGGACUGAGACACGGCCCAGACUCCUACGGGAGGCAGCAGUAGGGAAUCUUCGGCAAUGGGGGCAACCCCGACCGAGCAACGCCGCGUGAGUGAAGAAGGUUGUCGGAUCGUAAAGCUCGGUUGUAAGUCAAGAACGGGUGUGAGAGUGGAAAGUUCACACUGUGACGGUAGCUUACCAGAAAGGGACGGCUAACUACGUG
rnacentral:rRNA from 1 species